rnacentral:rRNA from 1 species
CAGUAGCCGCGGUAAAACGGAGGAUCCGAGCGUUAUCCGGAAUUAUUGGGUUUAAAGGGUGCGUAGGCGGAUAGAUAAGUCAGUGGUGAAAGACGGUGGCUCAACCAUCGCAGUGCCGUUGAUACUGUUUAUCUUGAAUAUGGAUGAGGUAGGCGGAAUGUGGCAAGUAGCGGUGAAAUGCAUAGAUAUGCCACAGAACACCGAUUGCGAAGGCAGCUUACCAAGGCAAAAUUGACGCUGAGGCACGAAAGCGUGGGGAUCGAACAGGAUUAGAUACCCCAGUAGUCCCUGUCUCUUAUAU